GACGAACGCUGGCGGCGUGCUUAACACAUGCAAGUCGAACGGUAAGGCCCUUCGGGGUACACGAGUGGCGAACGGGUGAGUAACACGUGGGUGAUCUGCCCUGCACUUCGGGAUAAGCCUGGGAAACUGGGUCUAAUACCGGAUAGGACUCCUGGCUUCAUGGUUGGGGGUGGAAAGCUUUUGCGGUUUGGGAUGGGCCCGCGGCCUAUCAGCUUGUUGGUGGGGUAAUGGCCUACCAAGGCGACGACGGGUAGCCGGCCUGUGAGGGUGACCGGUCACACUGGGACUGAGUUACGGCCCAGACUCCUACGGGAGGCAGCAGUGGGGGAUAGUGCACAAUGGGCGCAAGCCUGAUGCAGCGACGCCGCGUGAGGGAUGACGGCCUUCGGGUUGUAAACCUCUUUCAGCUAUGACGAAGCGCAAGUGACGGUAGUAGCAGAAGAAGGACCGGCCAACUACGUGCCAGCCGCCGCCGUAA
rnacentral:rRNA from 1 species